AUUGAAACACCGGUUCUCGUCCGAUCAUCGAAGUUAAGCAAUGUCGAACGUCUGGUCAGUAUCAAGAUGGGUGACCGCUGGUGAAUAGCCGGUGCUGUAAG